UACAGAGGGUGCGAGCGUUAAUCGGAAUUACUGGGCGUAAAGCGCACGUAGGCGGCUUGGCAUGUCGGGUGUGAAAUCCCCGGGCUCAACCUGGGAACUGCAUCCGAAACUGCCUUGCUAGAGUAUGGGAGAGGGAAGUGGAAUUUCCGGUGUAGCGGUGAAAUGCGCAGAUAUCAGGAGGAACACCGGUGGCGAAGGCGGGUCUCUGGGCCGUAACUGACGCUGAGGAGCGAAAGCGUGGGGAGCGAACAGG
rnacentral:rRNA from 1 species